rnacentral:rRNA from 1 species
AUUGAACGCUGGCGGCAGGCCUAACACAUGCAAGUCGAACGGUAACAGGAAGAAGCUUGCUUCUUUGCUGACGAGUGGCGGACGGGUGAGUAAUGUCUGGGAAACUGCCUGAUGGAGGGGGAUAACUACUGGAAACGGUAGCUAAUACCGCAUAACGUCGCAAGACCAAAGAGGGGGACCUUCGGGCCUCUUGCCAUCGGAUGUGCCCAGAUGGGAUUAGCUAGGAGGUGGGGUAACGGCUCACCUAGGCGACGAUCCCUAGCUGGUCUGAGAGGAUGACCAGCCACACUGGAACUGAGACACGGUCCAGACUCCUACGGGAGGCAGCAGUGGGGAAUAUUGCACAAUGGGCGCAAGCCUGAUGCAGCCAUGCCGCGUGUAUGAAGAAGGCCUUCGGGUUGUAAAGUACUUUCAGCGGGGAGGAAGGGAGUAAAGUUAAUACCUUGGCUCAUUGACGUUACCCGCAGAAGAAGCACCGGCUAACUCCGUG